rnacentral:rRNA from 1 species
AACGAACGCUGGCGGCAUGCCUAACACAUGCAAGUCGAACGAAGGCUUCGGCCUUAGUGGCGCACGGGUGCGUAACGCGUGGGAAUCUGCCCUUUGGUUCGGAAUAACAGCUGGAAACGGCUGCUAAUACCGGAUGAUGACGAAAGUCCAAAGAUUUAUCGCCAGAGGAUGAGCCCGCGUUGGAUUAGGUAGUUGGUGGGGUAAAGGCCUACCAAGCCGACGAUCCAUAGCUGGUCUGAGAGGAUGAUCAGCCACACUGGGACUGAGACACGGCCCAGACUCCUACGGGAGGCAGCAGUGGGGAAUAUUGGACAAUGGGCGCAAGCCUGAUCCAGCAAUGCCGCGUGAGUUAUGAAGGUCCGAGGGUUGUAAAGCUCUUUUACCCGGGAAGAUAAUGACUGUACCGGGAGAAUAAGCCCCGGCUAACUCCGUG